rfam:Daphnia pulex DAPPTscaffold_7475_Cont17291, whole genome shotgun sequence.
GCCCGUCUAGCUCAGUCGGUAGAGCGCUGGCCUUUUAAGCCAGUGGUCGUGGGUUCGAGCCCCACGGGGGGCG